ACGGGAGGCAGCAGUGAGGAAUAUUGGACAAUGGAGGCAACUCUGAUCCAGCCAUGCCGCGUGAAGGACUAAGGCCCUAUGGGUCGUAAACUUCUUUUGACGCAGGGCAAUAAGGCGUACGUGUACGCCGAUGAGAGUAUGCGUCGAAUAAGCAUCGGCUAAUUCCGUGCCAGCAGCCGCGGUAAUACGGAAGAUGCGAGCGUUAUCCGGAUUUAUUGGGUUUAAAGGGAGCGUAGGCGGCCUUUUAAGUCAGCGGUCAAAUGUCAGCGCCCAACGCUGGCCUGCCGUUGAUACUGAUGGGCUUGAAUACACACAAGGAAGGUGGAAUUCGUCGUGUAGCGGUGAAAUGCUUAGAUAUGACGAAGAACUCCGAUUGCGAAGGCAGCCUUCUGGAGUGCGAUUGACGCUGAGGCUCGAAAGCGCGGGUAUCAAACAGGAUUAGAUACCCUGGUA
rnacentral:rRNA from 1 species